GACGAACCGUGCGAACGUUAUUCGGAUUCACUGGGCUUAAAGGGCGCGUAGGCGGGCUCGCCAGUCCGGGGUGAAAUCUUUCGGCUUAACCGGAAAAGUGCCUCGGAUACUGCGAGCCUUGAGGGAGGUAGGGGCAUGUGGAACUUCCGGUGGAGCGGUGAAAUGCGUUGAUAUCGGAAGGAACGCCGGUGGCGAAAGCGGCGUGCUGGCCCUCUUCUGACGCUGAGGCGCGAAAGCCAGGGGAGCAAACGGG
rnacentral:rRNA from 1 species